rnacentral:rRNA from 1 species
UACGUAGGGUGCAAGCGUUAUUCGGAAUUACUGGGCGUAAAGCGUGCGCAGGCGGUGAUGUAAGUCAGAUGUGAAAUCCCCGGGCUCAACCUGGGAACUGCAUUUGUGACUGCAUCGCUGGAGUGCGGCAGAGGGGGAUGGAAUUCCGCGUGUAGCAGUGAAAUGCGUAGAUAUGCGGAGGAACACCGAUGGCGAAGGCAAUCCCCUGGGCCUGCACUGACGCUCAUGCACGAAAGCGUGGGGAGCAAACAGG